rnacentral:rRNA from 1 species
CACUCCUGCGGGAGGCAGCAGUGGGGAAUUUUGGGCAAUGAGCGAAAGCCUGAUCCAGCAAUGCCGCGUGAGUGAAGAAGGCCUUCGGGUUGUAAAGCUCUUUUGUCAGGGAAGAAACGGUGAGAGCUAAUAUCUCUUGCUAAUGACGGUACCUGAAGAAUAAGCACCGGCUAACUACGUGCCAGCAGCCGCGGUAAUACGUAGGGUGCAAGCGUUAAUCGGAAUUACUGGGCGUAAAGCGUGCGCAGGCGGUUUUGUAAGUCUGAUGUGAAAUCCCCGGGCUCAACCUGGGAAUUGCAUUGGAGACUGCAAGGCUAGAAUCUGGCAGAGGGGGGUAGAAUUCCACGUGUAGCAGUGAAAUGCGUAGAUAUGUGGAGGAACACCGAUGGCGAAGGCAGCCCCCUGGGUCAAGAUUGACGCUCAUGCACGAAAGCGUGGGGAGCAAACAGGAUUAGAUACCCCAGUAGUCCC